rnacentral:rRNA from 1 species
CCUACGGGUGGCAGCAGUAGGGAAUCUUCCACAAUGGGCGAAAGCCUGAUGGAGCAACGCCGCGUGGGUGAAGAAGGUCUUCGGAUCGUAAAACCCUGUUGUUAGAGAAGAAAGUGCGUGAGAGUAACUGUUCACGUUUCGACGGUAUCUAACCAGAAAGCCACGGCUAACUACGUGCCAGCAGCCGCGGUAAUCCGUAGGUGGCAAGCGUUAUCCGGAUUUUUUGGGGGUAAAGGGAACGCAGGCGGUCUUUUAAGUCUGAUGUGAAGGCCUUCGGCUUAACCGGGGUAGUGCAUUGAAAACGGGGAGACUUGAGGGCAGAAGAGGAGAGUGGAACU